CAUCUGCUCUAGAAGAGAACGGUGCCCCAAUCCUACGUGGAGCCUAGGCCUUGGGAAAGGAGUGGUCACUCACGAAUGCUGCCAAAACAUACUACUUGUCAUGGUGCAGCACCACGCCACAGCUCUGGACUGGGAUUUGAACCCAGGCUCAGACUUAUAAAGGCUGCAGACAUCCCACACUGCAAAAACUCAUUUCAGGGAGUUAGCACCAUCAAUUUGCGGGAGACUUCCAGGAGAGGCAUCAGGAAGCCACUAUUCAUAUGCGGGAGACUACCGGAACUUCUGGGAGAGGUGGGAUGUCCGAGACUGGUAAAAGCUCAAAGAACAGAAGACAGCCUCCGGGCCCACUGGACCAGUCCUGGCAUUCGACAUGUUCAUGGCUGAUCAGCCUGAACGAGAAGGCUUUCACAGAAAUGAAAUCAUCCGUUGUCAUCUUCCAAAAUUUCCUAGAUUUGGGAUUUGAAACACCCUGAUACACUGUCACCUUCUAGGAUAAAUACUGCACACCAAGGUCAUUUCACUCCCAUUAAUAUUAAUAAAAUAUAGCAUUGUUGGCCCAACAGUAGAGCUAUCUGCAUGUGGUACCGGCUAGUAGUCCAUGAGCAGGUACAACACAUAGUUGGUGGUUUGGCCCCAUAUUAGUCCAAAUUAGCAGACUUGGGAGUUUAGAGGGUUCAUUUUCAUAGUUAACAAAUGUCGCACUGAGAGGAGCAAAAAUUUUAGUAACUAAUUGCUUUCAAAGGAAGGGUGUAAAAGGGCUGUGAAGCAAUUGAAGCAGAGAACUCC